rnacentral:tRNA from 1 species
AAAAAGGAAAACUAAUUAAGCUAAAUGGGUUUGUACUUCAUUUAUAGAGGUAUUAAUCCUCUCCUUUUUA